UGGAAAAGUUUUUUUUCCUUUUAAUUGUCAUAGCGACAGAAAAUAAACUGGGAGUUGUCUCGCAACGUUUCUGAAUUUGACAGUUGUGUCCAUGGCUGAAGACGGAGGAAACGCGGCGGAGCAACCGUACGCCGACCCGAACCCGAACCCGAUUUGUGUUGCACCAUUUACAGAAGAGUUCUACUUGGGUCAAUGUUUCCAGCAUCUCAGUCUUUUGUGCCGAAUUCUGGUGAAGCUAAUAGUUCAAUUCCGCUGCAUCCUCAACCGCUUAAUGUGGCCCCCAUCAGCUGGUAUUCAUCGACACCAGAUAUCAAUGCUGGUUCAGUCUCAGUUGAAGCUAUAACUUCGCCGUCCAAGCGUAGCAACUCUCAGCUGCAUGCUGGGGGUCAGCCUGCAGUGCGUUUUUCCUCUGCUUGUCCAGCCAGAGAGGAACGGGACAAUUUUAUAAAUCAUGUUAACGGCAGGGUUGCCCUUACUGGAUCGGCGUUGUUGGGAGAGGUUGGGCCAUUCAUGGGUUCAGUUGAUAUAGCUGAAUCUGAAGAUGCUUAUGUAUUCCGUGUUUCACUUCCCGGUGUUGCUAGGGAUGAAAAGGGGUGAGCGUGACCGGAGAGAGGAAGGUUCGCAGGAAGAAUAUGGUCUUUAAGAUGCAAACUCAGAACUUAUGCCCACCGGGUGAAUUUACUGUUUCAUUCCAGCUACCAGGUCCAAUUGAUCAUCUAAACUUGUCUUGUAAUUUUGGACCUGACGGGAUUUUUGAAGGUGUUGCGAAGAAAAAACAGCAGGUCCUUUAAGGUCCAGUGAAAUACUUAGAUCAAAAUCCUUCUUCUCUAUGGUAGGGAGAAGCCAAAUUUAGAAGACCAGGAGCAAUGCUGCAGUUGAUUCCGGGAUCUUUGUGCAGCUUUUAGCCUUAUUUUGCAUCAUGCUUUAGUUCUUUUGUGUGUGUGCCGUCUUGUUGGUUGCAUCGUUAAGACUUACUAAGGGUGUGGCUACCCGAACUUAGCCACUUCUACAGAAUUGGAAAAUUGGGCUCAAACUAAUAGAUUUUGACUUUUGU